AACGCUGGCGGCGUGCUUAACACAUGCAAGUCGAACGGACCGAGUUGAUAGCUUGCUAUUGAUGAGGUUAGUGGGCAAACGGGUGAGUAACGCGUAGGCAACCUGCCCUUCAGAUGGGGACAACACCUCGAAAGGGGUGCUAAUACCGAAUGACGUUUCCUAGUCGCAUGACCUGGAAACCAAAGGCCGGGCAACCGGUCACUGAAGGAUGGGCCUGCGUCUGAUUAGCUAGUUGGUGGGGUAACGGCCCACCAAGGCGACGAUCAGUAGCCGGUCUGAGAGGAUGAACGGCCACAUUGGGACUGAGACACGGCCCAAACUCCUACGGGAGGCAGCAGUGGGGAAUCUUCCGCAAUGGGCGCAAGCCUGACGGAGCAACGCCGCGUGAGUGAAGAAGGUUUUCGGAUCGUAAAGCUCUGUUGAGAGGGACGAGAGAUAUAAUCAGGAAAUGGGUUAUAGAGGACGGUACCUUUCGAGGAAGCCACGGCUAACUACGUG
rnacentral:rRNA from 1 species